CAGUAGCCGCGGGUAUACGUAGGUGGCAAGCGUUGUCCGGAAUUAUUGGGCGUAAAGGGUUCGCAGGCGGUUUCUUAAGUCUGAUGUGAAAGCCCCCGGCUCAACCGGGGAGGGUCAUUGGAAACUGGGAAACUUGAGUGCAGAAGAGGAGAGUGGAAUUCCACGUGUAGCGGUGAAAUGCGUAGAGAUGUGGAGGAACACCAGUGGCGAAGGCGACUCUCUGGUCUGUAACUGACGCUGAGGAGCGAAAGCGUGGGGAGCGAACAGGAUUAGAGACCCCUGUAGUCCCUGUCUCUUAUAC
rnacentral:rRNA from 1 species